GGUUGACCUCGGAUCAGGUAGGAAGACC
rnacentral:rRNA from 1 species